rnacentral:lncRNA from 1 species
GACAUCAAAACACUCUAGUUGGAUGGCAGCCACUCGAAUCCACACCGCCAUUCGGGUUAUAUGAGCUGUUGCAGGGCAAAAACCAGGACGUCAUUUUUGAAGAGUCAAGUACUGUCCAGCAAUAAUCCAAGGGCCCUCAGUAAGCACAAAGUUCAUAUCUUUUCCAAAUCAAAUUUGACCACAAAAUAGUCAUUCACCAAAUCAAUCAAUUUCCAAUCACCCUUAAGACUCCACUUUUGUUGCAAACGGUCACGAAGAUAAUUGUAGGUAUGAGAUCUACCCAAAAGCUUGAUGAUUAGAGCGUUCUUCCAUGGUUGGCAAAGCCUAUUCAUCACACGAUCAGAGAAUUGGAUGCUUGGUCCUCGAUCCCCACGUGAAGUAACCACAUCUUCGUUAUCAGUAAGCUCUUCAUAAUCUGCCUCCAAGGAGUCAACAUCACUACCCACAUUCUUGGCCAAAUUUACUUGAUUCAUGAGCUUAUCACGAAAGCUUCCAGAACCCACAAACUGGGGCACAGGUGCUGGCGGGAGAAUUUAAGCAGACGAAUCGACCAUCGAAACAGGUUCGACUUCGCACACUGAACUGAGUUUCUCCGACGAUCGUAUCCGCUUAGAAAAGCGGGGGAGUUCCAUAAAAACCCCAGGCUGUCCUUCAGCCAUGGCUCAAAUGAGCACAAAGAGCAAAAAAAAAAUGGCGGAGGAACCACCAAAUUUGAUAGCUCUCAGCUGAUGAAACCAGCGAAAAAUGGGAUCUGUGAAAAUUAUGGAGCGUGCGUGAGGCGCGUUCAAGAACUGGGCAUUUUAUGAUGUUUUUUAAUUUUGCGGAGGUGCAAUAUUGACUAAGUAUGAAAAAUGGUUUUCGGAAUAAUCAUUUUCUCAAGAUAAUUUUUGGCGGCUUU